UGACCAGAGGCUUGUUCCUGAUGUUCCCUCCCAGAUGAGCCAAAAGAGAAAAGGACACCUACGAUUCCGGCUUUAAUCUUGGGAUACGGGACUGUGGGAACAAGCGAGUAUGGCCAGUAGUCCGCAAUCGCCACAGCGCCUUUACGGCCGAGCCCUGUUUGGUCCAUGCAGACGAGACGGGCAUAGAUCUGCCUGCACUUUUGACCAGACCGACGCCGGAAGCCCGGAAAUGCAACGAGUGCAUGUGCAUGGGUCUUGCUCGAUUGCCUGCUCUGCAUUUCGUCUUCCCAUUUCCUGUGCACUUCCAAAUGUUUGGUGCAUGCGUUGGACAAAGCUCCAAGCCCAACAAUGAUGGCCUGCUUAAUCAUGUCGACGUCCCACACUACUGAGACACAAGGAAGGCAUCCGCGCCAUUUUUGGGACAGCUUCAACUUUCUCGUAUAGAAAAACCAAAGAAAUCCCACUACUCGUGAAGAAGAGCUAAAUGAGAUGUGAA